GGUAGCUAGUUUUGUGUCAAGCGCAGGAUUUCUGCGCUAGCAGGAAAUGAGUCACAAUGACCCAAAUAACACUGACCCACACAAGACAUGAAUAACAUUAUCAUAAAUUAUUUUAAAAUGGAUGUAAAGGAAAUGGUGUUUAGAAAGCUGAACUAUGUCUUAAAGGAGGAGCGGUUGGCAGCUAUCAAGGCUUUCCUCGAAGGAAGAGAUGUUUUCAUAGUGCUACCCACUGGCUAUGGAAAGUCUUUGUGUUAUAUGUCUCUUCCAAGUCUUAUUGACCAUUCAGUAAUUUACCACAUCUCUGCACCUUUCUGCUGCUGGAUCACAUCUGUUUUUGCUCUCUUUGCUUAAGUCUUUACCACAGCCUAAACAUACAACGACGGUCAUGUUUACACACGUAUGGGCGGUGCUCAUUUUCAGCCCCACCUAUAUGCAUGCUGUCAGCUCCACCCGUGACACAAAACUAGCUACCGUACUGAACCUGACUCUCUGUUUUUCCGCGAGAGGCAGGAUCCACCUGACUAGGACAGGACCAUGUGAGAUCAGUAAAAAAGGAUUUUAAUUUUUUUCUUUUUUUAACAGAUUCCACAAUUAGUAACGAAACAAUACAAUAUUGAUUACACAAUCUCGCUAAAGCCACAUCCAUUACCGACAUUUUAUAAAGUAGAGGACAUUGUAUUAUUAAUGCAGUUCAUUUAUGUUGACCUCCUUAACCUGUUUGACUGGUUUAACAGUUAGUGGAGUACAUGUACAUGUAUACAUGUAGUCUUCCUUUUUGUAGAAUUGCUGUCAAAUGAUGUCAAGUUAUUUUUUAUGCCAAGAUUUGAGCGUAAAGAUAGAAAGGAUAAUUUGAUACCAGCGUCAAUGUGCAACAUUAUGGAAUCAUUAAUAUCAUUUUAUAAACCAUUAUCACUUCCUAGACUUGCUUCUGUUACUAAAGAGCUGGCAGUUUUCAAGACAAUACAGCAACUGUAUCAUACAUGAUAGUAACAAGAAUAGACAGUAUUAAUUGGCACUCUCGUGAUUCAGAGGCCAUUCUUGUUCACUUGUGUCAUUUUGUUCCUGACAGUCACACCACAUCCUCUCCUGAUACAGUAAACAGUACAGGAAGACAUCAUUGACCACACAAGCACAAACAGCAGGAAGGAACAAGAUAUACAUGUAGCAGGAAACAUACGAGGGAGACUGUUGUUGAGCUUCGAAGCAGUUCUAGUUAUCAUUUCACAGGAAUAUUCACUGACUGCACACAACUGGCUCUACUCUGCCCCCAGUUGUCUUCUCAUUUAUUGUUUCAUUUAUUUUUGGUAGAUUUGGAGGCUGGUAUUAAUUAUAAGUUUAAAGACAGGAGUCUUCUAGAAGUUAGAAGAAAGAUAGAGAGAGAGAGAGAGAGAUGAUUAUGAUUUUCUAUUAUUCAGUUAGCCCUGACCCACACUUCCUUCAUUACUCAAUACAAUGGUUCUCGGCCCCUACCUAAUGAAAUACUCAUAUCAUUAUCAAACUGUGGUACAAGGGCUCAUGUUUCCACAGCAACAGGUAAGGCCCCACCCUCAAAGAGACCAAAGAGCAGAAUAGAAGGAUUGACAGAAGCUGCUGAAACCAGUCGUGAGAAAUACAAGGAGGAUGAAGGAGAUGUUGUAUUACCAAGAGAUAAGAGAGACUUGAGUUUCUUGGAGAUGCUGUAAUUGAGUUUUUGUGUAGUAUUCAGUUAUAUCUCAUGUUUCCCUCUUUCACUGAUUCUCAUCUUGUUAUCUUCAGAAAGGCUCUAAUAUGUAACCAGAACCUAGCCAGUGUUGCCAAAAGAAUACAUCUUGAGAAAUAUUUAUUAAUGGAUGUCAAUUUCAAAAAUGCUGAUAUAAAUCACAUAUAUGCUAAUACUUUGAAGCACUCGUUGGUGCUGUAUAUAAAGACUCUGAUAUUAACACAUCCACACUUCUCUUCCCUGAAGAAGAUCUAAGAGAGAUAUGGCUCUCUGAGUAUAAGGAUCAACUACAGGUGGACUGAUGGAGAUAGGCACGUGGUUAAUGAGUAUCCCAUUUUAAAUUCUUUCAAUAAACUUGAGGAAUCCAUUUGAGUUAGAUUCACCAAUAUUAGAUUGCUAGCCAGAGCUAUUACCCAUCCAUCAUAUGGAUGUACCGAUGACAACUCCCACAUGUGGAAACAGUAUAUUUUUCUAUAAAUGCACCUAAAGAAUAAAUAUAAUAUAUGCAACAACAAAAAUGUACCCAACAGAUAAGUGUAUUAAUUUCUGACUAGUUAAAGAUACCAUACACCAUAGUGACUAUACACACAAA